rnacentral:rRNA from 1 species
AUUGAACGCUGGCGGCAGGCCUAACACAUGCAAGUCGAACGAGUGGCGGACGGGUGAGUAAUGUCUGGGAAACUGCCUGAUGGAGGGGGCUAACUACUGGAAACGGUAGCUAAUACCGCAUACCAUCAGAUGUGCCCAGAUGGGAUUAGCUAGUUGGUGGGGUAACGGCUCACCAAGUCGACGAUCCCUAGCUGGUCUGAGAGGAUGACCAGCAACACUGGAACGGUGACACGGUCCAGACUCCUACGAGAGGCAGCAGGGGGGAAUAUUGCACAAAGGGGGCAAGCCUGAUACAGCCACGCCGCGUGUAUGAAGAAGGCCUUCGGGUUGUAAAGGACUUUCAGCGGGGAGGCGUUACCCGCAGAAGAAGCACCGGCUAACUCCGUGCCAGCAGCCGCGAUAAUAC